rnacentral:rRNA from 1 species
AGCAGUGAGGAAGUGGAUAUGUUAAUAGCAUAUUCAUUUGACGUUAGCUGCAGAAGAAGCACCGGCUAACUCCGUGCCAGCAGCCGCGGUAAUACGGAGGGUGCGAGCGUUAAUCGGAAUUACUGGGCGUAAAGCGCAUGCAGGUGGUUUGUUAAGUCAGAUGUGAAAGCCCGGGGCUCAACCUCGGAAUUGCAUUUGAAACUGGCAAACUAGAGUACUGUAGAGGGGGUAGAAUUUCAGGUGUAGCGGUGAAAUGCGUAGAGAUCUGAAGGAAUACCGGUGGCGAAGGCGGCCCCCUGGACAGAUACUGACACUCAGAUGCGAAAGCGUGGGGAGCAAACAGGAUUAGAUAACCUGGUAG